UAGGAAAUCUUCGGCAAUGGGGGGAACCCUGACCGAGCAACGCCGCGUGAGUGAAGAAGGUUUUCGGAUCGUAAAGCUCUGUUGUUAAGGAAGAACGAGUGUGAGAAUGGAAAGUUCAUGCUGUGACGGUACUUAACCAGAAAGGGACGGCUAACUACGUGCCAGCAGCCGCGGUAAUACGUAGGUCCCGAGCGUUGUCCGGAUUUAUUGGGCGUAAAGCGAGCGCAGGCGGUUAGAAAAGUCUGAAGUGAAAGGCAGUGGCUCAACCAUUGUAGGCUUUGGAAACUGUUUAACUUGAGUGCAGAAGGGGAGAGUGGAAUUCCAUGUGUAGCGGUGACAUGCGUAGAUAUAUGGAGGAACACCGGUGGCGAAAGCGGCUCUCUGGUCUGUAACUGACGCUGAGGCUCGAAAGCGUGGGGAGCGAACAGG
rnacentral:rRNA from 1 species